rnacentral:rRNA from 1 species
GGGGAAUAUUGCGCAAUGGGGGCAACCCUGACGCAGCAACGCCGCGUGCAGGAAGAAGGUCUUCGGAUUGUAAACUGUUGUCGCAAGGGAAGAAGACAGUGACGGUACCUUGUGAGAAAGUCACGGCUAACUACGUGCCAGCAGCCGCGGUAAUACGUAGGUGGCGAGCGUUAUCCGGAAUUAUUGGGCGUAAAGAGGGAGCAGGCGGCAGCAAGGGUCUGUGGUGAAAGGCUGAAGCUUAACUUCAGUGUGCCAGAGAAACCGGGCAGCUAGAGUGCAGGAGAGGAUCGUGGAAUUCCAUGUGUAGCGGUGAAAUGCGUAGAUAUAUGGAGGAACACCAGUGGCGAAGGCGACGAUCUGGACUGCAACUGACGCUCAGUCCCGAAAGCGUGGGGAGCAAAUAGGAUUAGAUACCCUGGUAGUCCACGCCGUAAACGAUGAGUACUAAGUGUUGGGAGUCAGAUCCCAGUGCUGCAGUUAACGCAGUAAGUACUCCGCCUGAGUAGUACGUUCGCAAGAAUGAAACUCAAAGGAAUUGACGGGGGCCCGCACAAGCGGUGGAGCAUGUGGUUUAAUUCGAAGCAACGCGAAGAACCUUACCAGGUCUUGACAUCCGGAUAAAGGCUCCAGAGAUGGAGAGAUAGAUAUAUCCGAGACAGGUGGUGCAUGGUUGUCGUCAGCUCGUGUCGUGAGAUGUUGGGUUAAGUCCCGCAACGAGCGCAACCCCUGUUGCUAGUUGCCAUCAUUAAGUUGGGGACUCUAGCGAGACUGCCGGUGACAAGCCGGAGGAAGGCGGGGAUGACGUCAAAUCAUCAUGCCCCUUAUGACCUGGGCUACACACGUGCUACAAUGGACGGAUCAGAGGGAAGCGAAGCCGCGAGGCGGAGCGAAACCCAGAAACCCGUUCUCAGUUCGGAUUGCACUCUGCAACUCGAGUGCAUGAAGAUGGAAUCGCUAGUAAUCGCGAAUCAGAAUGUCGCGGUGAAUACGUUCUCG